AUGAUAGGAAUAAGCCCAAACGCAGACAACGGAGAGGUUUGGUGAGUGUCUCCAGCAAACGGUGAUUUCUCCGCUACCAUCAGCCUCGGGGCAUCCGAAAACACGGUGCAGCCCCAUGUGGGUUUAGGCCAUCUCCGUGUGUGCAUCUUGCCAUUCCCCGCAUACAAUCAACCCCACACGAAGUAAUCCCGCCAAUGUCACCAUUCCUAUCCACACAUUGUCAAUUCACAGACACUCCAUCCUUCUCUUGUUUGAUCGAAGGAUCGUCAAUGGGCCCUUUCGGCAAUCUAACAAGUAGAGGCUAACAAAGCAGAGAUCAACUAUAACUCUAUAACUCUAACUAUAACUAUAACGCAUGCCUCUUCAUAGGAUAGGUGGGGCAGCGGAGAUAUGCCAUCUCCCCACCGCCAUGGCGGCCACCUGGCCGCUCCUCCCUUUCCCGUCAGCGUCAGAUGGUUGUUCUUUUCGCCACCGUCACUCUUCUAUCGUGUCCAGGGAUUUCGGGGGUCUUUAUUUAGCAUCUCAUUUUGAUUCUGAGCUCGUCUUCCUUCAAUUUGAGAGUGGCUCAAGACUUCGCGCGUCAAAUGUAAGAAAUGGAGCCAUCACCAAUACCCAGGAAUUUGCGAGCGCUGUAUGAAUAUGUUGUCACUUUCUUCCUUAACUGGUACUCAUAUACGUUGGCAUUGUCGAAGAUGGCCAUGGUUCCUAGAUGGUUCUGUCAGUUCGUCUUGAGUUUCUGGAAUAACUUCGUUAGGAUAUGGUGGACGGAGUUGUGACCUCGACGCAAGAGGGACGGAGGUGGAGAGCGCAACAACUCCGGUUGAUGAUUCACGCUCCCAAGGGCUUACAGACUGCGCACUACCAGGGGACUUUUCAUGCAAGGCAUGGUGGAGAGAGAGAUAACUGCCAGAUGGCACCUCGAAUGUUGUUGACGACGAAUUUGGUGAAGGUCACAAUUUCAUAUAACCUUUCUCAAAGACUUCUCGUUCAUGCCAGUAGUAUUGGAGACUCUCCAAUAUCAUCGCCUUGAGAUGCCUCCACGAUGCCCUGACUUGGGAUAGCGCUCGCACAAACAUGUACUGAGAUUCUUAAUAUGUCUUCGAGAGCUCUAAUUUCAGCAACCGUGCAGACAUAACGAGAAACGAUUUACAAACAACCCUACGUUGCAUCCUCUGUCUACGACAAACCAGGCUAUACACGAAUGCCGGUCACUGACACAUUCACUUUAGAAGGUUGAGGUUCUCUCGAUCCGUUCCUCGUUUGCAGCUUAAAACAUUGAAUAGGAAGUAGGUACUAGAUACCGCCACAGUAGCAGAUGAGCUGUGACAUUGUUUCUCCUCUCACUCGAAAGCAAUUGCUCAGGGCUGAGACUGGAUUUGGAACAAACUGAGAAACCACAUCCUGCAACUGAAUAGGAUGAUCCUACAUAUGCCCCUGGCGUAGAGCUUUCGUCAGGAUCGAAACCACGCAAUCACCACUACAAUGUCUGGUGUCUCUCGAGGGAUAUCAAAUUCAUGGACAUCAGAAAAAGGAACACGCCGGAGCAACCCACAGGAAAGACUUUCAGUAUCAGCACAAUUCUCCUUGGAAUGAUAAUCUCAGAGAAGUAAAAUGAGGAUACCGUUAAGAAGUUCCUCUUCCCGAAACAAACUUGCGAAUGCAACGUUUCUCCGGAAGAAACUAGACCAACACCUCGCCAUAGCUUUCCCAUACGCUGCAACACCGACUGCAAGGCUUCAACGAUAAACUUUUGGAGUCGAAGACGGUCGAUUUGAAGGACGAACGGAAAAAUUUAUCGUGCAAUAGAUUUUCAGAGCAGCUGACAUAGUAACAACGUGUCUGUAAAUUGGGGAAAAUCCCAAUCGAACUAUUAAACCAAUUUAUAACCACUAAGUGCAAAUUUUGAAGUGCUUGGGGACAUUCGAUCA